CCUACGGGAGGCAGCAGUGAGGAAUAUUGGUCAAUGGACGAGAGUCUGAACCAGCCAAGUAGCGUGAAGGAUGACUGCCCUAUGGGUUGUAAACUUCUUUUAUAUGGGAAUAAAAUGUUCCACGUGUGGGAUUUUGUAUGUACCAUAUGAAUAAGGAUCGGCUAACUCCGUGCCAGCAGCCGCGGUAAUACGGAGGAUCCGAGCGUUAUCCGGAUUUAUUGGGUUUAAAGGGAGCGUAGGUGGAUUGUUAAGUCAGUUGUGAAAGUUUGCGGCGCAACCGUAAAAUUGCAGUUGAAACUGGCAGUCUUGAGUACAGUAGAGGUGGGCGGAAUGCGUGGUGUAGCGGUGAAAUGCUUAGAGAUCACGAAGAACUCCGAUUGCGAAGGCAGUUCACUGGACUGCAACUGACACUGAGGCUCGAAAGUGUGGGUAUCAAACAGGAUUAGAUACCCGGGUAGUC
rnacentral:rRNA from 1 species